rnacentral:rRNA from 1 species
UCUCUCAGUUCGGACUGGAGUCUGCAACCCGACUCCACGAAGCUGGAUUCGCUAGUAAUCGCGCAUCAGCCACGGCGCGGUGAAUACGUUCCCGGGCCUUGUACACACCGUCCGUCAAGCCAUGGGAGCCGGGGGUACCUGAAGCCCGUGACCGCGAGGGUCGGCCUAGGGUGAAACCGGUGAUUGGGGCUAAGUCGUAACAAGGUACC